rnacentral:ncRNA from 1 species
GGGUCCAGCCGAAAGGCUGGAGGAUAUGGAUGGUCGGGCCGCCAUCC